rnacentral:rRNA from 1 species
UACAGAGGCCUCAAGCGUUAGGCGGAAUCACUGGGCUUAAAGCGUGUGUAGGCGGGUCUUAAGUACCUUGUGAAAUCCCACGGCUUAACUGUGGAACGGCUGGGCAUACUGGCGGUCUUGAGCCAUCUAGGGGCGACUGGAACAAACGGUGGAGCGGUGAAAUGCGUAGAUAUCGUUUGGAACGCCAAUGGUGAAAAACAGGUCGCUGGGGGAUGAGCUGACGCUGAGACACGAAAGCCAGGGGAGCAAACGGG